GGAAGGGGUCAACUAAUGGACAAACCCAACCCAGCUAUUGCUUGUACAUCAAUGAAUAAGGUUUUUUUGUUUGUUUGUUUGGCCAGUUCAUCUGGAGUCCAUCUGUGAGAAGUGAGGACCAUUUUGGGCUUUAAACCUGCACUUGGACUCAGAGACAUGUCCUGGUGUCUCAGUGGGCAGGCUGGUGCCCAGGAGGGAGACUGGCAACAUGGUUGCCCAGCUGCUCCCCCGACUUCAAAUUCAAACCCCUGCAAGGGCGUCCAGCCUGCCUGGGGGGUCCUGCAGACUCCGGGGGUUCUGAGACCAGUGCCAGUCCUCCUACAGCAGCAGAGGCCAACAAAGCAGGUGAGUGGGGCAGAGACGGAGCAGGAGCUGGCCAGGGCAGCACCAAGUCAGCACACAACCUGUCUCAAGAAAAGGUACUGCCUAAAACUUUAUGAAGAGAGAGAAGCUUCACAGUUAGGCUCAGAGAGAGGGAGACAGAGACACAAGAGAGCAGGAGAGAGAGACAAAAAGGGAAAUAGAGGGAGAGCAGAGAGGCAGAUCUCGACCAAGAAAGAAUGAGGCAGAGACAGAGUUAGAAGGAGGGACAGAAAGAGAGCAGAUGGGCCAACUGAGGCAGACAGAGAGAGGGUAGGCUAGAGAGAGAUGAUAAUAGGGAUGAAAGAGGAACUGAUGGACCAGCACAGACAGGCAGACAGGACGACAGAGAGGCAGAGAGGCAGAGAGAGAGAAAGAAGCCAAGUAAAGAGAUUCUGACACACACACCCACCAGUGGGCACAGGUUCUGCGGUGUGCUCAUCAGAGUGCUGAGAGGUGGGGCCCAGGCCUGCCACUUAACCAACUCUGGGGGCCUUCACCCAGCCCGAGGACUGGGCCCCAGAGGGUGUCCUCCAGCCACAGAAUGGAACAGCAUCAAAGUUCUGGGAAGAGAGGUUUCUGGGGAAAGAACCACGUACUCUGCGGGUGCAUGUGGGUGGGGCUGGGGUAGAGGAUCUCUGACAAAGUUUCUCUUAGCUCCAUCACUGCCCCUGGCAUUUGUGGCCUCUCUGGUUCUCAGUUUCCUCUGGGAUGUGAUAGUGAAUAUGGGUGGUGCAGGGUUCUCUGAGAUCUCCUCCAGCUCUAAGAUCUGGUCUUUGCUCAGACUCUGUCUUUGCAGCUAACUUACUGCUCUAGCCUAUCUAAGUCAUGACCUCCACCUCAUAGCCCAAGAUGGCUGCUUGAGAUCCAGCCAUUAUAAAUGCAUUUCAACCAAUGAAGGAGGGAAGGCUAAAGAAAACGUUUUUCUUUUAAAAAACACCUCCUUGAAAGUUAUGCUCAACACUUCUUUUUCCAUCGCAUUGGCUAAUGCUUAGUCUCAGAACUGCAUCUAGCUUCAAGAGAGGCUGUGGAAUGUGUUGGGGAUAGAGUCCAUUUCACAUAGUUUAGUGAUGCCACCAUAGCUGCUCCCAGCAGCUUUGAUACAGCCAUACCGUUUUCCUUUUGCUUACGUUAGAUAGAUAGUUAGAUAGAUAGAUAGAUAGAUAGAUAGAUAGGAAGAUAGAUAUGUAGAUAAUACAUUUAA
ensembl:lncRNA